rnacentral:rRNA from 1 species
UACGUAGGGUGCGAGCGUUAAUCGGAAUUACUGGGCGUAAAGCGUGCGCAGGCGGUGAUGUAAGACAGUUGUGAAAUCCCCGGGCUCAACCUGGGAACUGCAUCUGUGACUGCAUCGCUGGAGUGCGGCAGAGGGGGAUGGAAUUCCGCGUGUAGCAGUGAAAUGCGUAGAUAUGCGGAGGAACACCGAUGGCGAAGGCAGUCCCCUGGGCCUGCACUGACGCUCAUGCACGAAAGCGUGGGGAGCAAACAGG